UCCAACCUGCACACAAACUAGUCUGGUAAGUUACAGCACGACAUGAUUCAGUUACCUGCAGAGCAAUUAGAGUUAGUGCUUGGAACACCCUUGUCCCAGAACAGCAACAAAAUUGAACCAAGCUGUCAGGUUCCAAAGGGGUGAAACCAGAAAAGUUAUUCUGAAACCAGAGGUACCUGUGUGCAUCUCUCAUCUGAGCAAUGGAAGAAAAGCACGCAGGAAAAGCGAAGGCACGCAGGUACUAAAACCACAUGGUAGACCUGUGAAGAUGUGAGCGAUCUCAGGAAAAUCUCCCAUGCAGUUGAAGUCCGGGGCCAGAGAUGAACGCUUUGAUACCGUCCUUUUUGAACGUGGAGCUGCUGCUCUUUGCAGUGGCUUCUGCAAAGUUAUUCAUUGAACCUCAGGAGGGCAGCCUUGCUGGAGGAACAUGGAUCACCCUGACAUUGGAUGGUCUGACAUCUCCCCAGUUACAGUUCACUUAUCCCACCAGUGGGUCUUUGCUGGAAGUGUCCCUAGUGAAUCCCAUUCUGCCUCCGGUACGGUGUGAUGUCCAUCCUGUAUAUUUCGAUUUAUCCAUCAUCAGAUGCAAAACGAGGUCCUCGCAGCAGGAGGGGCUGUACCAGCUGGAGGUGAUUGCUAAUGGGCAGGUGAUCAGCAACCCGGGUGGGAUGCCUUGUGGCAACUGCACUUUCAAGUUUUCUGUUGCACAGACACCUGUGGUUUACCAAAUUAAUCCACCAUCUGGCGUCCCAGGAAACGUAAUACAAGUCUGUGGGCAGAUCAUUGCUGGAAAAUACGAAACCAUGGACUUUAACGCUGACUAUAUUGAUGGCCCUGUUAUCCUCGAGGCGGAAGGAGAUGGAUGGAUCAGCCUCUGUUCUUUUGCCAACAAGCAAACGAGAAGCAUCUAUCCCAUUCAGAUGGAUCAUGGAACAGGGACCUUACAGUGCCAUAUCGAAGGCAGCUAUAUCGGUUCGCAGAACGUUAGCUUUUCAGUGUUCAACAAAGGAAGGUCGAUGGUACGCAAGGAUGCUUGGCUCAUCAGUGCCAAACAGGAGCUUUUCUUAUAUCAAACAUUCUCAGAGAUAGUAUCUGUGUUUCCUGUCUCGGGAAGCCUACGAGGAGGAAGUGACCUCACGAUCACAGGAGACUUCUUUGACCAGCCCGUGCAGGUCACAGUUGCAGGAGUUCCCUGUGAAAUCAAGCACUGUUCUCCCCGGAAGAUUAGUUGCACCACUGGACCCAUUGAUGAGGCCAGAAGACUUGCUGCACCUCAAGCAGGAAACAGAGGGCUUCUCUUUGAAGUCUGGGAUGAUGCAGCAGGCACUGAUUUAACUGAAGCAGCCCCUGGGUAUCGAUGGCAGAUUGUUCCUAAUGCCAGCUCUCCAGAAAGAUUUCUCUUUCAGGCACAGCAGUCAUUCAGCUCACGACUACGUGGAUUCUUUGUGGCACCACAGACAAAUAAUUACACUUUCUGGAUUCAGGCAGAUGGCAGGGCUUCCUUGCAUCUAAGCCUGUCAGAAGACCCAGGGAAAAAGGUGAAAGUUGCCUCUAUUCCUGCUGGUGCUUCUGAAUGGUCCGAGCGCUGGGAGAAGAACUGGAGCAAGAGUUGGCAGCCAAAAUCCCAGAAAUUUGAGCUGAUUGGUGGCUCAAAGUACUACCUGGAAGCGCUGCAUCAUGGGAAGGCACCAAGCAGUGGGAUGCAAGUUGGGGUUCAACUGCACAACACCUGGCUAAACCCUGAUGUGGUGAACACCUAUCGCAGAGAGAGGCACGAAAUCCGGGCCAGUGCCCACCGGCUUCCAGAGAUACAGAUGCUGACUUUAUCUGGCACAGGAUGGUUCCAUAUUUCCUGGGACAAUGUAUCCAGCAACAUGAUGGCAACAAAUGCUACAGCUGGUCAGAUCCAAACAGUGAUAGAGGAGCUUCUUUCAGUAAAAUGUGAAACUGAGCCAUUGUCUGCUAAAUUCCUUCUCCGGAAUGGAUUUGAGGAAGGCCAGGGAGACUCUGCCACUGUGGGACAUGUUGCCAGCUGGACAGAACCUUUUUGUGGAAGGUUCAGUAUUCACAGGCCAAAACAUCUUGUAAAAAUGUCUCCAUCAACCUUACCAAGAUACAGCCUCACUGAGUACACACAUGUGUGCUUUGCAUAUAAAGGUUAUGUGAGCGAUACGCUUUAUGUUUUAGUGUCCUAUAUCAACACCUUUCUAAAUACAGUGAAGAAGAAUCUUACUUGCCUGUGGAGUCUGAAUGAGACCAGCCCAGAAAGCUGGAAGUUCACAUGUGCUGAUCUCUGGAGGGGCUGUGUGAAUGGCUCUGAAUCCCUCCGGGACCUUGAAGCCAACUCACCAGUGUUUGUGCAUCAGAUCGACAUGCUGAUCCCUGAGAGAGAGGAGGAGACAUCUAGCUGGUUUUACCUUGAUGAAAUUAUCAUCUCGGAUAGAAACGUAACUGUUUUUCAAAGGGAUCCCAGACCAGCUCGUCCGGGUGGAAAUGUUAUCCAAGAAGUGUCUGUGAUGGGGUCUCCCCCCACCUACAACGUGUCCUUUCUGGUGGCUGACUGUGGCAGCAAUCUCCCUCUUCUGUCACUGAGGGGAGCUUUGCCCUCGGAGGGCUCAGAAGAAGAUGAUCACCUGGCUGUGUCCAUGGAAGGUGCCAGUGUCACUCUGACAGUUCAGAGACUGCAAGCUGCAUCCCCACCUAUUGGCGGGACUUUCCAGAUCCUGCUUACCAGUACAGUGAUAGCAGGUGUCCCGGUGCAUGUCUCCUCCCAUCACCUCCGUGAGCUCCUGCAAAGCAACCCCGAUAACUCCACAGGCCAGUACCUCAACGCCAGUGAUUUCACGGUCACCAAGGACAUGAGCACUUGUUACCAAAACGUAUGGACACUGACCUGGAACUCCAUGACUGGUGACUUGCCCAUUGUCAUCAAUGUCUCUGCUGAAAACCUCACAGGACUUAACCCAACCAUUGCAGCUCGUGUGGUUUAUGAUGGCGGCGUAUUUAUUGGACCAAUAUUUGGGGACAUGCUAGCUACGGCCAAUAACCACACCCAGGUGGUGGUUCUGGUGAAUGAUGUCCCAGCUAACUGCUCUGGUUCAUGUUCCUUUCAGUAUUCUCGGGAAGCAACUCCUUUAGUCAGCCAUGUGGAGUAUUCACUAGCUGACAGACUCCACGCUAGAGUUUAUAUCACAGGGUCUGGCUUUGCUGGGGGUAGCCAAGCACUGCAGAUAGAGGUGAACCACACGACCUGCCAAGUCAUGACUUCAAAUCAAACUGGUAUAGUUUGCUGGAUGAACGUGUUACCAAUGGGACUGUACCAGGUUACAUUACUGGUGAGACCGUAUGGGUUUGCUCGCAAUGCCAGCAAAGGACAGGGCAUCUACCUGAGAGUUAAGCCCAGGCUGGAAGCUAUUGAACCUCCGACAGCUUCAGAGAUUGGAGGGUGCACAGUGAUCCUCCGAGGGACUGGUUUUGAUGGGGUAAGCCUGGUGUUGUUUGGAUCUCAGCCUUGUCCAAUUAACACCAACACCAGCAACUCAGUAAGGAUUGAAUGUGAAGUUCCCUCUCGGGGGGAUGAAGACUAUGUUGUCCCUGUGACGCUAACCGCUGGGUCCCAGUCUGCCACGUUCCCCGAGGUGUUUAAGUACGAUCCUUCUUUAAAUCCAGCCGUUGUAUCGCUGAGCAGAAACAGAAGCACCACAGCAGGGCACCAGUCACUCCAGAUUAGAAUAUCAUCAUUCGCAAAUUGUACGGGCCUGGAUGUACAGGUCAAAAUUGAGGACACAGUGGCACAGAUCCAAGCACGAACAGCCUAUGGCGUCGAUGUAGAACUGCCUGCUCUGGCAGAUGGAUGGUACAACCUUUCUGUCAUCAUCAAUGGCAUUGCAAUUGGCUCACAUGGAGUUGAUCCAUUCAUCCAGUACACCACUGAGAUCCUUAGCAUAGAGCCCUGCUGUGGCUCCAUUCUGGGCGGAACAAUCCUCACAAUCUCUGGAAAAGGCUUUAGCCAAAACCCUUCCCAGCUUUUAGUCUUUAUAGGCACGCGAGCCUGUGAUGUUACCCGCUUGGUGGAAGAGACAAUAUGGUGCCAGAGCCCACCGGCUGCUGAUUUCUCCAAUAUAGAGUCCCAGGACAUCUCGGCACUAGUGGGGGUGUUCAUUGGUAACAGAUCCUCUCCACUCCUUCCCUCCUGGAGCUUCCCAAAGAGGAAUAUCACCUUUACUUACCAGAUGGCUUUGACUCCGGUAGUUACCUCUGUGGAAGUAGAAAUGAAGAAUGACAGCCUGUGGCUGGGCAUAGAAGGAAUAAAUAUAACUGGUUCAGUGGCUAAGCUGGGAGACUCUGAAUGUGAGCUGGAGUUUCAAUGCGCGAAUGAAUCCACAACCCUUUCUCAAUGCUCCUUCCCACUGAGCACUCUGGAACCUGGGAUCCAUCCCAUCAGAGUUCUUCAGAAGCAGCUGGGCUAUGCCAACGUGACAGCUGCACUGCCAAACUUUACAUUAGUCCCAAAGGUAAAGGCCAUAAUUCCAUCACAAGGCUCAGCUUGUGGUGGGCUGUUGCUCACUAUAUCCGGUCUUGCUCUAAAAUCCAGGAGGAAUUCAGUUCAUGUGAGCCUGACGGGUAACUAUACUUGUGAAAUCCACAGUGUGGAUUACAAUAGGAUCAGCUGUGCUCUUCUUCCAAGGGAACCUCCUCUGGGUGACUGGUGGUUGCCUGAUGCAUCUCAAGUCCUUAAUGUCACAGUGACUGUAAAUGGAAUCCACAGCGUCUGCCUCACAGACUGUGCACUCCACCUUCUGAAAGAGUGGACCCCUAGAGUAGAUGCUGUGGUCUGGGAGAUCAAUGGGACAUUGUCAUCUCUGCUGAUCAGAGGCCAGAGAUUAGCUUUGGCAAUUGAUGAACUUGUGAUACAAGUGGACAACUGUGCCUCUUGUAACAUAACUUUCUGGAAUGAGACCACCAUAAAAUGCCAGACAGGCAGCCUUUCCCCAGGUGAGCACAGCCUUUCUGUGUCCAACAGAAGAAGAGGGCAUGCUUGCUUCAGCAGGGAUUCCCAUAUCUUCACCGUCAUUCCUUGUGUGCUCAAAUUUUACCCACAAAAUUUCAGUACCAAUGGUGGGGGCCUUCUUUCCAUACAAGGGGCAGCACUGAAAGGAAGGAACAGCACUUCCAUUCUUGUUGGGAACCGACCCUGCCUCAUUACAGAUGUCAGCUAUGUAGUUCUCCGGUGCUCUGUUCCUCUGGGCAAUGGAAUCCAUGCUUUAGCUCUAGAAAUAGAUGGCAUCUCCUACCACCUUGGUGAAAUAAGUUACAGUGAAGAGUUCACCCCCAUUUUCCUUUUCCUUUGGCCUCCGGUGGGUCUCCUUUUAACAAUGACCGUGUCACGGAUGACAGGGGUGGAAAGAAUGCACGUUUCCAUUGGUAACUCCCCCUGCACCAACAUCACUGGCAAUCACACCACUUUGCAGUGCUCGGCUCCCAGGCUUCCUGCUGGAGAAUACCGGGUCUUUGGCGGCGACUUCCUCCGAGGCUGGGCUUCGUCAAACUUGACAUUCACCUCUCAGCUUACUGUCACAUCCACAUGCAACAACUGGGGUGGCCUGGGUGGAGGGGCAAUGUGCAUGCACGGCACUGGGUUUGCCCCAGGAAACACCUCCGUGACCAUCUGUGGCGCUCCCUGUGAAAUGCGAGGUGACACCACGACGACCUAUGUGAGCUGCCUUGCCCCACGCUUGGACGCGUCCUUGGCUGUUCUCUGUGGCCUGACCCAUCCUUCAGAAGAUUGCAGAGGAGCUGGGGCCGCAUACAUUCAGUGCGAUGUCCAUAUCACAGCAGGAGCGUACAGCCUAGCAGGAGCCAGGCCUUACAUAUACCUGUGUGACGAUGACUCUCGGCUGGAGAACAAGACAAAAGUCAACUCAUCCCAGCCACUUUUUGCUGGCCUCUUUUUCAGCCCUAAAGUGGAAAGAGAUGAAGUUCUCAUCUAUAAUAGCUCCUGUAACAUUACCAUGGAAACUGAGGCAGAGAUGGAGUGUGAGGGAGCUAAUCAGCCAAUUACCGCCAAGAUUACUGAGAUAUGGAAAAACUGGGGCCAGAACACUCAGAGGCACCCCCCCCUCCAAUUCUGCGGCCGAUGGUCUAAGAACUCCAGCUGGCUUGAUGGGCACUUGCCACAAGAUGGCGCUAAUGUCACAGUAGAAAGAGGCCAGACGCUGCUGCUGGAUACCACCACUGGCAUCCUCAACUUUCUGCACGUCAAAGGUGGCAAGCUCUUGUUGGCUGGCCCUGGACCCAUAGAAAUCCAUGCUCAUUAUAUUCUGGUAUCUGAUGGUGGCAAAUUUCAGGUGGGAUCCCCAGAUAAACCUCUCCGGGACAAAGCCCACAUCCAUCUCUACGGAAGCUUUCAUUCUGCAACCUUCUUUCCAUAUGGGGCCAAAUUCCUGGCUGUGAGGAACGGGACCAUUUCCAUGCAUGGUUGGGUGCCAGAAGUGGUGUUCACACACCUGAAGUCAGCAGCUUGUGUUAACGACACUAGGCUAUUCCUAGAGGAGCCUGUUGACUGGCAGCCUGGGGAUGAAGUUAUUGUGAGUGGAACCGGUCCUGGAGAUACGUAUCAGCAAGAGGAAAUCGUCACAAUUGAGGCAGUGAACAACACUGAGCUCUACCUUAGAUUGCCUCUCAGGUACCCUCACAGCUCUGGAGAAGAGUGGGUGCAUGGGAAUCGCUUUGCUCUGAAAGCUGUUGUGGCAUUGCUUAGCCGGAGAAUUGUUGUCCGAGGAAACCUCACCAGAGAGAGGAUGUCCCACCUAAGGGAGUGUGCCAAAGCAGGUGUGUCGGGAGAUGCCUCGGCAUGUCUAUACAAGAAGAGCGAGAGGAUGCUAGGAUCCCGGGACAUGGGGGCCGUUGUUAUCGUGCAAGCUUUCCAGGGUGAGGACAGUCGCAUCCGUUUGGAAGGCGUUCAAUUCCAGCAUGUGGGCCAAGCAUUCCAGCACCACCUGAGCGCACUGACCAUUGCCGGGGAUGCCCGUAUGACUGAUUCUUACAUUCGCGGUUGCUCAGUGUGGGAUUCCUUUGGUCGGGGACUCAGUCUGUCGAGGAUCUCAGAGUUAAGAGUGGACAAUAAUGUUUUCUAUAACAUUUUAGGUCAUGGGAUUCUACUGGGAGGGUGGUUGGAAGAGGGGAAUGAAGUCAGUCACAACACAGUGAUUGGCCUUUCUGGAACAGAUGGACUUUCCAACAUAGAAACAUUAUCACCAGCAGGGAUCUACAUCAGGGCUCCGGCUAACCAGGUAGAGGCUAAUACAGUGUGUGCCGCUGGUUAUGGCUAUUUCUUUCAUCUCUCGCCUGAGGGACCAUCACAAACUCCUCUUCUUGCCUUCAGUAAGAACACAGCCCAUUCCUGCACAAGGUAUGGUCUCCUGGUGUAUCCAGAAUACCAGCCAAAACGUGUAGAUGGCCUGGGCCCAGUUCUGUUCCAGAGCUUCACAGCCUGGAGAAAUCAAGGCGGGGUUCAGAUUUUUAGCAGCCGCAACCUGGAACUCCGAAAUUUCCAGAUCUAUGCUUGCAAAGAUUUUGGAAUUGACAUCGUGGAAAGCCUUGGAAACACCACUAUUGCUAACAGCUUAUUACUUGGACACCUUGGUCAAAAGGACAGUAGCUGUAUGUCAGCAGGGCUGAAAACUCCCCAAAGGCAUGAACUGUUGGUUUCCAGUACAUCUUUCAUGAACUUCGAUAUUAGCACUUGCACUGCAAUCAGCACCUGUUCUGGCUGUUACCAAGGCCAGGGUGGAUUUACAGUGAGAGCUGAACGGUUGGCAUUCCUGAAUUCACCCAACCAGGCGUCAUUCCCAUUUCCCCAUUCGGCCAUCCUCGAAGAUCUGGAUGGCUCCCUCACAGGACAGGAAGGAAGUCACCUCCUUGCUUCUAUGGACACACUUUCAGCUUCCUGCGUGGCCAGUGCUAACUUCAGUCAUGCUGCCAGGGGGAGUGUUUGUGGAAGGGACGUUAUUUUUCACCGUAUGUCUAUUGGUUUAAAAGAGGCUCCAGACUUUCCUUAUAAUUUAACCGUGACUGAUAGUUAUAAUAAGACAACCACAGUCCAUUACGUCUCUGAUACUUUAUCAAACCCCUAUGGUUGGAUGGCUCUGCUCUUGGACCAGGAGACUUACACUCUGACUUUUGGUAACCCUUUCGUCAGCAAACAACUGCAGUACUCGGCUACAUUCGAUAACUUCGUUGCUGGGAAUUACUUACUGGUGGAACAUGAGAACCUCCCAUCCUAUGCUGAGGUCAUUCUGCUCUGUGGGACAAGGCCUGGUCAGCCACUCCAGUCACUUCCUUCACACAGUCAUAACAAGGGCUGUGAUUGGUUUUUCAACAGCAAGUUGGGGAAACUAACCUAUUUAGUUACAAGUGAAGACCUAGUCCAAGUAACAUUCAAAGAGGAAGAAAAAGUCACUCUACCUACACCAGCUCCAGUCUCUCCUUCUGACGUAAUUUUGAAAUGGUCAUUCCCUGAAUCAUGGAGUGGAGUGAAACAAGGCUGGGGUGGAUACAACCACAGCAUUCCAGCCUCUGGUGAGGAUGUCGUCAUCUUGCCUAACAGGACCAUCCUGGUGGAUACAACUCUUCCUCCUCUGAGAGGUCUCUAUGUUCUGGGGACUCUGGAAUUCCCAGUCAGCUCCAGCAAUGUCCUUAGUGCCAGCUGUAUAGUGGUUGCAGGUGGUGAACUGAAAGUGGGUACUUUUCAACAUCCCCUAGAAAGAGGAAUGAAGCUAUUGAUCCUUCUUCGGGCAUCUGAGGGAGUUUAUUGUGAUCGUUUGGAUGGAAUAAGUGUCCACCCAGGAACUAUUGGGGUUUAUGGGAAGGUGCAGAUUCAUAGUGCUUAUCCUAGGAAAUCCUGGACACGUCUUGGGAGUGACAUUGCACCCGGCAAUGAAAGGAUUUGGGUCGAGGAUGAAGUGGACUGGAGUCCUGGUGGAAACAUUGUCAUCAGUUCCUCCUCCUAUGAUGCUCACCAAGCUGAGGUAGUCACACUUGAAGAAAUAAAUGGUCACAGCAUAAGAUUCCAGGAACGUCUCCUCCACAGGCAUAUUGGGUGUUCCCAUAGCCUAGAAGAUGGCAGACGUGUACCGUUGGCUGCUGAGGUUGGGCUCCUAACACGCAACAUACAGAUUAAGUCCGACAAGGCUUGCUCUGGGAGGCUUCUGGUGGGACGCUUCAGAAAUACCAGUGGAAUGGAAUUUGAAGGUGACCUUUGGCUCUCAAACAUUGAAAUUCUGAACUUUGGAUCAUCACAGCUUCCUGCUAUUGGCUUCAGUAACGUAUCUUUGGGAUCCGCAAUUAUCUCUUCCAGCAUUCACCAUAGCUGUGGGGGUGGCAUUCAAGCAGUGACAAGCAGUGGAAUCUCAUUGCGUGACAAUGUGGUGUUCCAUACGGUUGGCCCUGGCAUUGACUUGGAAGGCCAAACCCAUUCUCUCAUCAGGAACCUUAUCAUUCUCAGCAAGCAGCCAGAGGGGUUACCAAACUGGGUUGCUGGCAUCAAAGUGAACAAAACAGAUGGCUCUUACCUGCUUGGCAAUGUUGUGGCAGGUUCGGAGCGUAUAGCUUUCCACAUCAGAGGUCAAGAAUGCCUCCUAGCUGGAGAGUAUUGUGCUGAAAAUGUGGCUCAUUCAAGCCUUCAUGGUGUUCAUUUAUACAGAGGAGAUGGGUUUCAAAGCUGCACCAAAAUCACUGGUUUUCUGUCCUACAAGAAUUACGACUAUGGUGUCAUGUUCCAGCUCGAAAGCAAUGUAGUGAUGGACAAUAUGAUGCUAGUAGACAAUGCUGUGGGUGUUCUGCCAGUGGUGUACAGCCCAUCUGAUAAGCAGCAUCGUUUGGGAAAAAAAUACAUAGAAUUUAGAAACUCUGUGAUUAUUGCAACAAGCUCAACUUUUGACUGCAUUAAAGACAGGAUCAUGCCCCUUUCAGCUAACUCGACUUUCAGGGAUCGAGCUCCAUAUUACCCUCAGAGAGGUCGCAUUGGGAUUCUGUGGCCUUCAUUUACCUCUGAACCAAGCCAGUGGCCUGAUAAUCCAUGGCACAAAAUAAGAAAUUAUGCAGCAGUAUCAGGAAUCAUGAAGCUACAAGAAGUCACCUUUACUGGUUUUAUGAAGAGUUGCUAUAGUGACGACAGAGAUGUCUGCAUCAUGUCAAAUCCUGACAGUGUGGGCAUAAUGUACCCAAUCACAGCAGAGAGGACAAGGAUGUCACAUGUCCAUGAGCAGAAUAAGUUCUACUUUCAUACAUUGGAAACAAGCAGCAAUGGAUCCAAGGACUUUUCAUAUCUUGAGAUGAGAUGUGAAGGCUCAAGAAAGGCUCUCUUCAAGGAUCUGGAUGGAAGUGCCCUGGACCUACAGCCACCCGUGUCAGUUUUCCCAAAGUCUGAGUUUGAAUGGACAGAGUCCUGUUUGCAUGCUGGCAUUUACAGAGAAGACACAAAGUGCAUCUACAAGCCCUCUACGCAAGGCUACUUCUGCAAAGACACAGACCAUGCACUCGUGAUCCUAGAAAGCUUGGACACUGAAGCAGACGGAAGGAGGUCAUCUCCAGUUGUAUCGGUGACUGGCAGUUUUGUGGAGGCUUUCAGUAAUGCAGUUUCACAUGUAUCUUGCUGUCCUUCAGAACAUCCAAGGGCUUUCUAUUCGGUCUUGCCAUCCAACAAGCUGACUAAGGUUUGCUUCGCUGGUCUAACACCUCCGAGCUUAAGACUCCGCCUCAUCAGUGGUCAAAACUCUACCAGACUUCUCAUAGCCAUCUUCUACAAUGAACCCCGCAGCCUUCAUGUUUUCAUGAAUGGGAAUUACAUUCCACUAGCCUCAUCUUCUUCCAGCGCUUUCUUAACUAAUGCCAUGGCAGGCACCCACUCCUUCAGCUUUGAGAACAACCUUCUCUACGUCCUCCUUCAUGGAGAUGACCCCAUAGAAAUAUACACCAGCUAUUCCCUUCAUGCUGCUUUUACCAUUGCUGAGACCAUUGGAGAGGAGGGUCAAAGAAGGGUGGUCCAUCGCCUGGCUGAUUUCUUGAAGAUUGGACACCUUCAUGUCAGAAUAGUUCAGAGUGCAUCAGGAAGCGAGAGCACGUUAAAGGUUAUCUCAGACAAUGUCGGCAAGAGGAGGCGUCAGUGCCCUCCCAUGACAUCUUGCACAGCCUUUUGUAGCAGGGCUGGCUGGGAGAAAACCCGUAGAGGAGCAGCCAGCAUUUGGGUUCUGCAGUCAUCUCGUGCAGCUACCCCAUUAAGAGUGUUGAUCAUUGAAAUUGGAGACCCACCAGGCCUUUUCAGAAAUAAGCUUGUUCCCUCCUUGUCGAGCGACAGGUUGAAGAGCUUGGCCAGCACUAUUAUCAACGCUCAGCAGACUGGGGAUCUUCAGCGAGCCCUGGAGUUACCAAUUGAUACUUUAAUGGUGACACAAUCUGCUUUGUCAUCGCCACCAGCGGGCAGUGCCGGAAACGGAAGCAGUCUACCUCCUGGAGGUUGCCUGUAUGUGAGGCCCUAUAAUAUCUCUGUCCUGGUACAGCCCUCUGAUGGAGAAAUGGAGAAGGAGCUUCCUGUUCAGCCACAAAUUAUUUUUUUGGAUAAGCAGGGUCGGAGAGUUGAGACAUUAGGUCUGCCCUCAGAGCCAUGGGUCAUGACAGCCUGUCUCAAGGGCUCUUCAGAGGCUGUGUUGAAAGGGCACACCAGAGUAGAGGUUCAAGAUGGACGGGCUAGCUUUACAAACCUGGCAAUCUCCAAUUCAGGCUCAAACUGGUACCUCAUUUUCACUGUUAUUUCACCUCCAGGUGCUGACUUCACUGUCGAGUCCCAGCCAUUUACCAUCUUCCCUAUCCCCAUGGGAGAGAAAUCCAUCACGGUCCUUACUGCUGUGUUGGGCUCAGUGGCUUCGGUGCUAGUUCUGGGUCUUCUUUUAUUCUGCUGGUCCAAGAAAAGCCAAAGUAGCAAAACAAAGAUUGAACAGGCUAAGGUACCACAAGCAAAGAGCAAUAUGAAAUCCUCCCAGAUCCCGCCACAGCAGCAUUCAACUCGUGCCGAUCUGCACCAUGCCCGGGAAGAGAACAAAAGAGACACUGCUGGGAUGGAAGGAGCAGGAGCUUUACCGGAGGAAGGACUGCAAGACUCUGUCUGUCACCUGGGAUGUGAAAAGCACGCUGGGCUCUUCCUGCGUCUUCCAUCAUCAUCAGUUACCAAGACUCUGCAGAUGGAGCUUGCUGCCAGUGGUACAUUAGAUAUAGAAGCAAAUGGAGUACCAGGAAACACAACGAGACAGAUAAAGGAGUUGCACCAACAGACAGUUAAAGCCAGGUCAAUGCAGAAGAUAAGUCCUGUUGAACAUAAAAGGACGAGUAGAAAGAACUUAUCCCUGGCUAGGAAACAUGACAGCAGCCAUCCAUUACAUGGAAGAACAGCUCUGUGGGGUUCUCUGGAACUUCAGCAGCGUGGUGCCAAGGAGUUCUGUGACUGGAAGGAUACCCAUCAGCAGCAGUUUGCUUGCACCCACGGAAAAGAGAUGGGAGGAGUAGAGCCUGUUCCCCAGAAUGUGAACAGAGAGAGGCAGGAGACGGCUGUGGGAUCUUGAGGAGAUGUGUAAGGGAAAGGAUGAGCUGUGGUACCAUCAACAUGAAACAUUUUCUGGGAGGAAAUCCAAUGGAACAUAGGAACCUGAGACUCUUCUUCCACUGGUGUGGUCAGAAAAAGCAUAUUAGCACUGGACACUUGCAAACACUUUAGGAUAGUUAACAGCGAAGACAUGUUCUUAGUGGUUAAAGCAGUAAAUCUGAUCUGUCCAUCGUUUGUUUUCCCGCUCUCCUUAGUCCCUGAUUUAGCAAAGUACUUAAAUCCAUCACUAGUCAGAAAAGCAGGUGCAUAUGUACCACUUCAUUGUGGCUUAAGCAUACGCUUAAGUACUUUCCUGAAUAGAGAUGGAUCUAAGCAAUGGCUUAAAACUCAGAAGGUGCUCUGUUGAAUUAGGGCCUUACCCUGUGACCCCUUCAGGUCAGCAGCCUUCCCUUCCUGAAUGUUUGGAAAUGCCUAGCACAUCGUGACCAUUGCCAUUAUUGUUAAUAAUAAUGAACUGGGAGGCUGGUCUGUUUCAUAGAUUCUAAGCCUAGAAGGUACCAUUGUGAUCAUCUAGUCUGACUUCCUUUAUAACACAGGUCAUAGGACUUCCGUGAAAUAAUUUCCUUUUUGAAGUAGAGUAUAUCUUUUAGAAAAAACAUCUUGAUUUAAAAGUUGCCAGUGAUGAAAAAUCUACCACAUUUCUUGAUAUGUUGUUCCAAUGAUUAAUUACGCUCACUGUUAAAAAAAAUUACGCCUUUUUUCCCAUCUGGACUUGUCUCACUUCAACUUCCAGCCAUUGGAUCUUUGUUAUACUUUUGUCUUAUAGAUUAAAUAGCCUAUUAUCAAAUAUUAGUUCCCCAUGUAGACACUUACAGACUGUGUUCAAGUCACCCCUUAACCUUCUCUUUGUUAAACAGAUUGAGCUCCUUGAAUCUAUCGUGAAAAGGCAGGUUUUCCAAUCCUUUCAUCAUUCUCAUGGCUCUUCUCGGACCCCUCUUCUGGUUUCUCCUCCUGAGUGACUCUCUACAAUGGGUCACUGGAAUUCUCUGUCCCUCUCUUUACUGAGCUGUAAAAUGGGGAGUGUUAAUACUUGCCUCCCUCAAAAGAGGGUGGGGAGACUUUAUUAUGGCACCACAGGAUCCUUGGGUGAAGGGUGCUCUGCAAGCACAAGAUGUUAUUUCCAUUCAUCUAUAGAACAGGUCCAGCAUGUGCUUGUGUCAUGGCUGCCAUUUGGGCCAACACCAGGGAUUAAAGUGGGGACCUCUAGAACUGAAAACACAAGAGUCUCCAGCUUAUGCUAAAGAGCCAGCUUCAGGGAUGCUGACCAGGAGGCAGAGGCAGCUCGUCCCAAGCGUCUGAGAUUCACAGCAGUUCAAAUUCCAGACAAGGCCCAAGUUAUGUGACCGCAGCCAUUUUGCCUGGCACAGUAGGGACUGAAUCAUGAUGAAAGCAUCAGUGUGUAGAGCUCUUUCUCAAGAGUGAGGUUUUGGAUCAGUCUGCUGCUCUGUGGACCGGGCGCAGAAGGUUACUCAGAGCACGCAGUGGCCAGUGAGUUACACUUUCCCACAUAAGCCCUUCUACUCUGCCUCUGUCCUGCUCCAUAGAGACUCUGUCUGGUAGUGAGAGAAUGAUUCAUUCACCAUGUCCCCUCAGUCAGUGGCCUGUCCGCUAAGACUAAAUGCCAGCUCCUGCCUACCAGCACAUUUCAUAUAGCCUAUUGAAAAGCCAUCAGAGGGUAACAACCUUCAGUACUGUCACUGCCAGUCUCAGCUGGAUUCAAACCCGAUCACCUUAGCCAUGAAAGGAUUCUGUCAUUGUGCACAUAGACCCCAUUCUACCAUGGCCACUAAGGGGUUAACAGGAAGGCUAGCUAUCUCCUCAGCAUUGGCUAACUGCUGGUCCAGGAACAGCUGGGGGAUCUGAAGGCUGCAGAGGAGAGGAGGGAGGGACCAUUCAGAGGAGAUGCCUUCAGCACCAGACAGCUGGACUUCCAGGCAUGGAGAAUCAAAGAAUGUGAGUCUGGAACAGGUCUACAGGAGAGGAAAGGUAGGAAGCAGUAAGACUGUGAGGAACUGUCCCAGCUGCUUAAUGCAGGUUCCCUGGGGUGGAUCACAGAAGAGUGGGUGGGCCCGGGUUCCUCUAUCCUCUCCUGCAAAGGAGAUAGUAAAACCCCUAAGACUAAGGGGAUCAGGACUGUUAGAGGGCUUUCCCUCCACUCUCCCACUUCCCUGGUUCUUGUCAUGCCGACAGCAAGCAGCAAAAGACUAGAAGGCCGAAGCGCAGGCAAUGCAAUGUUUAUUGGGGUUAAUUUCCAGCAAGCAUGAUUCCAAUUUUCCCACCCACUUCCUGUUUGACCCCAGUUUAUAGCGUAAUAGUCUCAGCUAUACCUUAACCAAUCAUUUUUCUGAAAUCUUAUCUAGCCAAUCCUAACAUAUUGUAACAUAAUUCUCUAACCAAUUAUAUCCCACUACCCUAAUUAACCUAGCAAAAUUAAUUAUACAGCAGACCGAAGCAAUUAGAGAACCAGACAGAUUAAAAAUAGAAAAGUGGGGGCCAUAAAGGUAAAACAAUACAGAAAUGAGGGUUUCACAACCACAACCAUUGAUAAGUGAUUUCUUGCCAGACAGAUUUCUUGCUAUUAAACUAAGCUUUCUUUAACCAUUUUCUUUAUCUGGUGGUGAUGGGCGCUAUCAGAACAGGAUCAUCUUCCUAGCAGCCCAAUAGCACCUUAUUUCAGUGUGACUAGUUUGGAAUGUGAGGAUGUGACCGGUCGCUUCCCAGCUUAUGGCUGCCCCUGCUGCUUAGCCAAAGGCCUUAGCCGAAGAACAAGGCCUCAGACUAUCCUAGAGAGAAGGCCCAGACAGAGGCGGACUUGUGAUUUUAAUUCUUUGUUUUAUACCUUUAUAACUAACUAAGUGAAAAAAAAUACACUGAAGUUCUUGAAUUAUAGGCCUUUACAGGCAGGCCUGAAUAUCUGUAUUCUAACAAAGACACCGCAGAGGCUUGGGAUUCUCAACCCUUUGCUAGGGUCAUUGAACUCCUGGUCUAUCAGACACUAUUGGCCUGGAAGGGGAGAAACUAUAAAUGACUUGUCGGCGGGAGUUAGAAGAAGAAGCCGCUCGGAACAUGGCCAAGCAACUGUUGGUGGACUGUGGGGGGGGGGAGAAAGUGAGGCAGAGAUGCUGUUACACCUUUAACAUCCAUGAGAGGGUGCUGGCUAGCAGAGAUCUCCCUAGAUGGAUCCCCAAUGCGCGGCCAUGCACACCCUCACAUUGUAUUAUUUUCACUAGGUGAGACUAGAAGAGGCUUAAGAGUGCCCAGGUUGCUACUGGACUUUGAUGGUCACUAGCCAUAAAGGAAAUAGAGCAAAUGGAAGCAACUGAGCUAGAAGCAGGUGCUAACUCUGCCCAGGGUCAGUCCAAGUCAUCUAGGAUUCUAGAGCUGGCCCCUAUUUUUACAGAAAGGCCCACACGUGGUCCUGGCCCCUCCUGUAUGUCUCCUCUGAAAGAAGACCUUUACCAAAGCACCAUGGCCUCCUUAGGAUCAUGUUGGGGCGCUGGUUCAGGAUUGGGUCAGAGAACAGUCAGUCACAUGUAGACUCACCAACACUCGCUCCUGCACUACCCCGGGUUCAUAGUUUCAUCAGGACAGAUUCUCAGCUGGUGUAAAUCAAUGUAGCUCCCAGGUAUCCCAGCUUUACAAGGGAAGAACUGAGAGAUUAAUAGAUGUAUCCAAAGUCACACAGGAAGUCUGUGGCAGAGCUUGGAAAUGAACCCAAAUAUCUUGAGUCUUAGCCCAGGGCCUUACUUUGAGGAGGAAGGAUGGUCCAAUGGUUCAAGUACUAGCCUGGGUUGUGGGAGAUCCAGGUGGAAUUCCUGCUGUGCCCCAGACUUCCUGUGCGUAAUCUUGCGCAAGUCACAUAGUUUCUCUGUGCCUCAGUUCCUCAGCUGUAAAACAGGUAUAAUAGCCCUGCCCUGCCUCCAUGGGAGUGUUGUGAGGAUACAUUUAUUACAAUCUGAGUCGCUUAGAUACUAUGGUGAUGGGGGCUAUACAAGUACUUAGCAUAGAUAGAUAAGAUCAUGCUUCCUCUCAUUGACUCACAAUCUGUGGUAUCUGCAUUUAUGAUAUGCCCUUCAUUAUGUUAUCUUAGCACUGUGCACAUAAAUAAAAGUACCAUUGAAUUCUGUGCAAACACAUCCACUUUCUGUGCUUGCCUUUUGCCCCAUUAAUUUUUGGUGUGAGUGAGUAUAUAGGGGGGAAAUGCAGGGAAAAAGGAGAGACCCAUGAGGAGCAUCAGUGGAGAAGGGAGGUGGGAAGGAAGAGGUUCCACCGAAGGGAAUGCUGAAAGAACGGUGAGCGAGGGAGAAAGAGAACCAGAAAAGGACAAAGUCACAGCAGCCAAAAGAAAAGGGAGUCUCAAGAAAAGCACCAGCCAUGGUGUCAAAGGCAUCAUGGAAAAUGAGAAUAGAGGGAGAACCUUAGACUUGGAAGGAAGAGGAAGCAUCAUUAGAGACUUCUGGGAGGGCAGUCUUGGUGGAAUGGAGAGGACAAAUGCCAGAUUGGAGCAGAUGCAGGAGUGAGUCGGAGGAGGCAAGACCAAAGCACUGAGGAGAAACCAGCCCACUCAUGAAGCAUGGGAAGGAGGAAGAUGUGGGCAGAGGAAGAGAGGAGCAGGGAAGAGUUAAGUUUUCUGUCGAGUCGGAAAACAAAAGCCAGCCUGACCAGAGGGGAGAGCUGGGAGGUGAUUGGGUUGCACAAGUUGAGGUGUUGGGUCUGGAGGGGAUGGGUCAAGUUGAGGUGUUGGGUCUGGAGGGGAUGGGUCAAGUUGAGGUGUUGGGUCUGGAGGGGGAUGGGUCAAGUUGAGGUGUUGGGUCUGGAGGGGAUGGGUCAAGUUGAGGUGUUGGGUCUGGAGGGGAUGGGUCAAGUUGAGGUGUUGGGUCUGGAGGGGGAUGGGUCAAGUUGAGGUGUUGGGUCUGGAGGGGAUGGGUCAAGUUGAGGUGUUGGGUCUGGAGGGGGAUGGGUCAAGUUGAGGUGUUGGGUCUGGAGGGGAUGGGUCAAGUUGAGGUGUUGGGUCUGGAGGGGAUGGGUCAAGUUGAGGUGUUGGGUCUGGAGGGGGAUGGGUCAAGUUGAGGUGUUGGGUCUGGAGGAGAUGGGUCAAGUUGAGGUGUUGGGUCUGGAGGGGAUGGGUCAAGUUGAGGUGUUGGGUCUGGAGGGGAUGGGUCAAGUUGAGGUGUUGGGUCUGGAGGGGGAGGGUCAAGUUGAGGUGUUGGGUCUGGAGAGGGAUGGGUCAAGUUGAGGUGUUGGGUCUGGAGGGGGAGGGUCAAGUUGAGGUGUUGGGUCUGGAGGGGGAUGGGUCAAGUUGAUGGAAGAUUGUGAAGUGAGGUUCAAGUAUCUCCAGUACAGGGAAUUCCAUUAUCAGAGCCAAUGGCCUUCUCUGUACUAGGACUUUCCCUCUGUUGCAGCCCUAGUGUAGACAAAGUGCCAGCACGGUUUUAGGCUCUUUUGGAAAUUUAAGCUUAGGAGAGCUAGACACCCCCUGCCAUUGAAUUUUAAUGGGAGUUGGGCAGUUAACUCCUUUGACAAUCCCAGCCUCAAGCACCACAGCCUGCUCUGAGCAAGGUUGGAAGACAUGGGCUAAAAUCCUGGCCCCAUUGAAGUCAAUAGCAAAAUGUCCAUGGGCUUCAGUGGGGCCAGGAUUUCACCCAUGGAGAAUAAAAAUGCCAGCAGCUACCUGGAGUCCUGUGCCCACUAGCACUUGAAUGCUGGCACUGUUGCAACCGAUAAGGUAGCUGAACUGGUGUCAGAGUAACAGCCGUGUUAGUCUGUAUUCGCAAAAAGAAAAGGAGGACUUGUGGCACCUUAGAGACUAACCAAUUUAUUUGAGCAUGAGCUUUCGUGAGCUACAGCUCACUACGCCUGGCCUGUGAGAAUCCCUAGAUGCUGCCGUGAGCAAGUUUUCUUACGUGGCAGUGGGUUUUCCCUUCUCCCCUGACUUCUGAGGCGGAGAGGGAGCCGUGUUCCAGACAGAUUAGCCUACGGCUUUGGGCCAGAGUUGAUGAGACUUCACCAAGAUACAGGCACAGACACGUGGAGAGAGGGGAAAAAAAGAGAGCCUGUGAAAAAUUAAAAUGACAAGGCUGGUUAGGGAGUGGAGAUAACUGGGGAUGUAGUGAAAUUAAUUGCAGUCUGGGUUGAAAGAAUCAUGUUCCUAAAACAAAAUUUCAGCUCCCCCUUCUCCCAGCAGCAUCAGUGAGAUUAUAAACCCUUUCAUUGCCCUUUUGUGUUACAAAUAAAACUAUUUGUUAUGAUUAUUUGUUAUUUCCACAGUGCUAAAGGUAUGCAUGGUAUUUUACAGGCAAAUCAGAGACAGGCUUGUAGUCAAAGACUCUGAUCCUGCAAAGAUUCAUUGUGGGUAGUUCCAUUAGGUGUAAAAUGAAGCACACACCUAAAUCCUCACUGGAUUGGGUCUUAAAUGAGAAGUAACACUUCUGGUACGUCUACACUGCAAGUGAAGGCGUGAUUGUAGCAUGGGUUGGCAUGCCCAUCUGCGCUUUAAUCUAGCUAGAGUGUAGAAUCAUAGCAGCGUAGACACGGCAGUACAGGCUAGCAACCAGAGUACGUACCCAGGCUUCCUGAUGGUUUUGGACUCCGGCAUGGGUUAGCCACCGAAGGUCAAGCCCUCAGGAGAAGCUGAGUAUGUACUCUGGUUGCUAGUCUAUGUUGCCAUGUCUGCUAUUGUUACCUGAACUAGUUAGGUUUAAAGCAAGCUACCACAAGUAUACCUCCCCGAGCUACAAUCACACUUUCACAGGCAGGGGAGAGGUACCCGUCAGGUGGAACGACGGAUAUUCAGUGCCAGUGUAAACCUAGUCCCAAAACAAAACAAAAAGGCUGAACAGUUUUGAGAAAUGAAAUGUUUCUGGUUUUUAUUUUGUGAUUUGUUAUUCCCCACUCCUCCUUUUUUCAUCUUGCCACUGGGGGGUGGGGGAAGAGAGAAGAGGGAGAAAAAGGAGCAAAAAACCAAUGAAUGAGGUGAAAAAACAGAAAUGGGAAAAUGUUUGUUUUCUGUUUUGAAAACUGAAACGUUUUUGGGGUGGGGGCAAUUUUUUAGUCAAAAUAAUCCAAUUGUUUUCAAAGCAAUCUGAAUUUCCCGCCAACACUUUCCUUUUCAAACCCAGAGCAAGGAAGUCAUGAAAGAAACCAGCUGCCCCCUAGUAGUGGAAGUUUUCUCGGGCACCUCUCCGUCCAGGCUGCCGGCAGAGAGAAGGGCUGGCUUUCAGAAGGACCAAGUCCUCACAAUUCCAGCUGAAGUCAAUGGGUUGCCAGCACUUCAGAAAAUCAUGCCCAGUCCCGAACAGUGUUCAGAUUAGUGAUGCACCCAUCCAAGCAAAUUACUACCUAUUACUGGAAUUGCUUGUCCAGUACUGCAUCUUAUUCUGUGAUAAAUUUCACCAUUCAUUAGGGCUCUGAUCCACAAAACCAUUUAAGCACAUACUUAACUUUAAGCAUAUGAAUGAUUACAUGCCAGCUUUGAAGCACAUGCUGAAAUGCUUCGAAGGACUGGGGCCUGGGUUAUCUGAUUCAUUUCCCAGUAGGUCAUUUUGUCUAUCCCCGUGACUGGAUUGUGUGUGAUUGGAUGAAUAUGCCUUUCCUACCAUGCACUUUGUCAAUUUCAGACUACAGUGAAGAUGACACAUAUAUACAAUAUACAAUACAAAUUAUACUAACCACCACCCCCAACUCUUGCUCCCCCUCCCACUACAGUCUUUUCAUGCCUAGGUGCUGACAAAAGUUAUUUGUCGUAUUUCCUCCUCUUGGUGACUGACAGGAGACUGGUGUCAAGUGAGAAAAUGAAAUGUAAAUUUUAUUAAACACUCCUCUCAUCUCUUUGUAUCAAUCCAGAUUCCAGCCUAACAUAGCAAAUCAAAUCCUGUCUUUGCCAGGCCUGAGGGCAAAUGUAGAAUAAUUUCUCCUUAAUACUAUUGCCUCCUAGUAAAAUAUUUUUCUGUUUAGUAAAUGAAAAUUUAAAAUGCAAACCUUGUUUUAAUCCCAAAGAAAAAGAUGUGCAUUUCAGGGGAAGAAUACUACACUUCAUUCUGUUCUGCCUUGUGCUUUCUUCUUGUUUUCAGACCCAACAAUUGUGAUUAGCUUCAGUUUAAAUGGCAACUCCCAUUUAAGUCUUGUCCGUCAGGACUUUCUAGAUGUCCAUCAUGGGGCUUAGUAGCAGGUCCAGAGAUAAUUCUGAUACAUUUAAUUUGAAAUAGCAUUAUAAUUACUGUAAUGAAUUGGUGUGUGCAACGCUGCUAUCUACUGGAUGGAAUCGAAAAUGCUCAGCUGUGUGUCAGAAGCUUUAUACUAUCAUCAUAAUCCUUUAGCUGCAGUGUUCAGGCCUGUGUUUUCAGAAAAGGACGAUCUCUAUUCCAACCUUGCUGUUUCUGUGAAUUUAGAUUUUUCUAUCAGUAGAGCGCCAGGUGGACUUCCCCAGAGACGGGCUCUCAGGGCUUCCAGGGUCCGUAUUCCUGGGCAGCAUGGAAGCCCUAGGAACCUUGCAGUGACACAGUGGUGCCAACUUGUAAAGUCUUCACUGUUCUUUACAAGCCACUCCUGUCUCUGACCUGACAAACUCAUUACACCACUUUCAUGGUAUUUAUCCAUGAAGGGUAGCACGCACGGUCUCCACUGAGAGCUUGUAACUUAUCAGGACUCAUAGUCGUUGCGAGAUGUGUGUAUGCGUAACAUUUUAGGGACAAUGUAACUAUAUUGAAAAUCAUGUCUUAUGGUCUUGGAGUCAAAAUGAAUCACCAGUAAAUCAUGUCUCAGUAAAUCAUGUGGUGACCCAUUCAAGCUGGGGGGGCGUUGUCACCCUCCCUGGCAAGCCAAUUACAGAAUGUACUUCUCAGUGGUCUACCUUUGUACCACUCCAGAAAAGUCAAUGAAAAACCAUCAGUGACAAACUAUAAACUUCAAAACCACUUGGAAGUGAAAAUGAAUGACAGGACAGUGAGGGGGAGGACCCUGCCUGGGAAUAGAGAAAAGGCUGAUUCAGUAUAUCACAGGGUGGAGAAAGACACUCUGCAUCCAUUCACUGAGGAGACAGCUACUUGAGCAGGGGUGUUUCAUGAAAGCUUGGAUCCUGGUUCCUGAGAAGCCAGCCAGCUCUGCAACAGACUGAACUUUCUGGGAGGGGGUUGGGGGCGAUAUACAUUGUUAGAUAGGAAAGGUCACUAUUAAUGAGUAUAGGCCCCUAAUUCACAUUGUAUGAUUUUGUUUUAUUUUGUAACCACUCUCUUGUUUAUAGUGGAACCUCUACUCUUUCUGAAUAAACAUUCUUUGGUUUUA